UUUUCUCUUCCUCUCCUCCUCACUAUCGAUUCUCUCGUCCUUUUACUUAAUCAGAGAUAUCUAAUCGGAGGCGUCAAACUCGGAUUCCUCCUGGAGCGACGAGGCCAGUUACUUCUGCCGUUUCUCUUCUUCCGCAGCCUCUUUCUGUAUCUUUGCAAUCUUCUUCUCAAAGGUCAAAUAAAAAUAAUCUCUGUGAAUUAAGCAUAGCAGCACAAAACAGAGGAUGGGAGAGCUGAGGUUCUAAGUUCUAACUGAUCCCUGAAACCUAUAUGAGGCAAACUAUGUGGGUAAUGAGGGAUCAGACCUUUACGAUCAGCUUGUUAAAGCCAUACAGGAAAAAUGGUUGGCCGUGACCGUUUGAUUUUCGGAAUAGCUCUGCAUUUGUGUCAUUAUGAUUGUAGAGAUAAUAACCGAGGAGCUUGUGGAUGUGUUCAAACACAAAGUAAUGCUAAAAAGCUACCGUAGGAGGGGCCAGACUUGUUUCUGAAGUCGUAAUUCUUGCAAGUAGAAGAGAGGAGACGCGGAAUUGAUUGAAAGCAACGACGCAGAAGAAAUAAGUCUUGAAGGUGAUCGAUCUGUGUUACAUAGACAACUCGAUGCCUACAGUCAAGCUUGCGAUGACCAACAGACACCAGGAGCAAAGAGACACGGUCAACCGGUUUGCUUUGGUUUUCUUGUUCGUUAGGUUUAGCCUUUUGGUUUGGUUAACCAGUUUAUUAUUUAUAAACCAUUUUAAUUUGUAAACCAUUUUGAAGCGUA